rnacentral:rRNA from 1 species
AUUGAACGCUGGCGGCGGGCCUAACACAUGCAAGUCGAGCGGAUGAAGGGAGCUUGCUCCUGGAUUCAGCGGCGGACGGGUAAGUAAUGCCUAGGAAUCUGCCUGGUAGUGGGGGAUAACGUCCGGAAACGGGCGCUAAUACCGCAUACGUCCUGAGGGAGAAAGUGGGGGAUCUUCGGACCUCACGCUAUCAGAUGAGCCUAGGUCGGAUUAGCUAGUUGGUGGGGUAAAGGCCUACCAAGGCGACGAUCCGUAACUGGUCUGAGAGGAUGAUCAGUCACACUGGAACUGAGACACGGUCCAGACUCCUACGGGAGGCAGCAGUGGGGAAUAUUGGACAAUGGGCGAAAGCCUGAUCCAGCCAUGCCGCGUGUGUGAAGAAGGUCUUCGGAUUGUAAAGCACUUUAAGUUGGGAGGAAGGGCAGUAAGUUAAUACCUUGCUGUUUUGACGUUACCAACAGAAUAAGCACCGGCUAACUUCGUG